rnacentral:tRNA from 1 species
AUAGCUCAGUGGUAGAGCACUUGCUUAGCAUGUGCAAGACCCUGGGUUUAAUCCCCAGU